GAGAGAGAGAGAGAGAGAGAGAGAGAGAGAGAAAGAGAGAGAGAGAGAGGCGGACAGACAGACAGAGAUAGAGGGCAUAGAGAUCCCUGAGAGUUUCAGCGAUGACCCGACCGACUCAACACUUGUUUAGUUCCGAUAAUGAGAGUUUGGAGGGAGCGUGUCUCGAUUUGCUUCCAUUUCCGUCUCUUUUCUCUUUUCCUACCCCUAGUUUUCUUUGCUUUCCUUCAGCCUCGUUUCUGGGUUCCCGCCACCAACUCUGUCCAUCUAUGUGGGUCAUCUAUUUUCGCUUGGAUGAGAAAAAAAAGAAACAUGGAGGAAAAAAAGACUCAAGUGCCUCAACUGGGCCAUUGGUUCUGAGCAGGGCUGGUUCAGAGGAGAAAUAGGGAUCGGGCACUUUUGGCUUAAAGCCUCCCCUCCGAAAUUAGCGCCACAGAACUGACUUAACGGUGGCCAUUUUUUGGUCCAGCCCUGGUUCUGAGCAUGCUCGGACAGAGUCAGUGAAAGCGAUAGCACAUACAGACAGACCAGA